GCCUAAGAAUAACUUGGCACUUCAGCAGUAGAAAUAGAAAAAAAUUUUUGGCAGAUUGUGAUUAUUGAGUUGGAACUCCUAGAGGUUCUGUAUUGAAUUGAAUUGUGUUGUAUCUGUGUAUCACUACGAGCAAUAGCACUCAGAAGCCUCCCAAUUAUUUGUUGAAAAAAAUCAAUGGAGUGAUAUACAAACACAUGAAAGAUUGAAAUCAGGGUUUGAGCUGGGCAUAGUAAGACAGGAACCCACCUGGAAAAGAACUAUACAGACACAUGAUCAACAGCCAGAGGCUCACCAUGAUACCACUAAUAAUUGCCUGAAGACCCUAGCCAGAAGCCUAUACAGACAAGAGGAACUACGAUACACAGCCCCCAGCCAAGGUCCCCCAAGACAACAGCUACAUAAGGACUCCAGUGAGAGGUAAACCUUUUCAGCCUAUGUACUAUAUGUGCUUAUUUCUAGUCCUUUCUAUCCUCUUUCCCCUCCC
rnacentral:lncRNA from 1 species